UACAGAGGGGGCAAGCGUUGUUCGGAAUUAUUGGGCGUAAAGCGCGCGUAGGCGGCCACUUAAGUCGGAUGUGAAAGCCCCUGGCUCAACUGGGGAAGUGCACCCGAAACUGAAUGGCUUGAAUGCAAAAGAGGGUCGCGGAAUUCCCGGUGUAGAGGUGAAAUUCGUAGAUAUCGGGAGGAACACCGGUGGCGAAGGCGGCGACCUGGGUUGACAUUGACGCUGAGGCGCGAAAGCGUGGGGAGCAAACAGG
rnacentral:rRNA from 1 species